ACAAGACCAGAGACUCAUGCUCUCCCUCUCUCUCUCACAGAUCAUCAUCGAUCUUCCACCAUCGCUCACCGUUGAUCUUCCACAGUCGCACAUUGCUACCGCCGCUCGCUCGUCUCGCAUCGCAUCGCUUCAACAUUGAGGCUUUCAUGUGUUUGGGCUCCACAAAGAGAAGUGGAACAAGAUUUUGGAGCUACUACUCGCCACAAGCUUAAUCUAUUGCCUUACUUUGUACAAUCACUAUAUCAGAUAUGCUCUGCCUCUCUUAUCAAAACCGACUCAUUUUCUUAGUCGCUCCGUUACAUCUGGUCUCUUUCUUUCUGUUUUUGGUUUAUUUUGAUUCUAUUUAUCAUGAAUAAGUACUUUCCUAGGGUAUAUAAAUUUGUCUAUAUGGAGAAUUUUGAAUCCCAUGCUUACAUAAAUUUGUGUUUAAUGGAUAAAUACUUCUCUUGUUUUCUGUUAUAUAUAACUCUGUAUAUAUAGAACAGUCCAAGAGGUUUUGUUUUGUGGAAAAAUCAUUUUUUGUUCAAACUGUUCAAGAGUUUUAACAGCUGGAAAUAAAAAUAUUAAGGGUUCACGUAUUGGUGGAAUGGUUGAAGUGUGAGAGAGAUGAAGAGGAUGAGAAAAGUGGUUGUGAUGGAAAGUAGAAGAGAGAGGGUAGAGCAAGAAAAAUUGUUAGGACAAAAUUGAUAUUUUACGACUUAUUUUUGUUGAACCACAUUUUUUUUUUGUUGUGGUAAUGACGAGAUGAGAUGGUGAAUGUACAAGUGGCAGCCACGGAGUUGUUGAAUGUAAUGUCAGGGCUCUCUCUCUCUCUCACACACACACACACACACACAAUUAUGCACAAACACUAUUUUUAGAAGUUUCCAAGGUGACUUUUUUAUUUUUAUUUUUAAUGGUGUUUAAUCUGUGUAAUCUCAUUUGCUGAUUUUCUCUUUCCUACCCCACUUAUAAUAUAAUAUAAUUUUAUUUGUGUGAUUGGUAAUAUUUAUUUGUUGUUUCAAUCCUCUUGUAAUGUUUCUUCCUAUUUGUUGUUUAAAAGUGCUUCGUUGUAGCAGGGGCUACUGAGAUUGAGCAGCCAUGAGCAUUAAUUCAUAGUGUUUCAUGAUAUUGUUUUGUUUAAAUAUUUUGUUUUGAGCUAUAACUGCAAGCCCUGUUUAUUGCAUUUGAACAAAGCUCAUCUUUGAAGCCCCCUUAGUAAUAUUGAAAAUCACUUUAGAAAGUUCUAAGUUAAUAAUUUGGUAGCCAUUGUAAGAACGUGGUCUAAGUUAUGGAUUGGUGGCGAAUUAAGUGGGUGAUGCCAGGAUCUCUUAGUGGAUUGAUAGUGGUGGUCUGGUUACAAAUUCAAGAACCUGGAGAAAAAAGCCUGAAAGCUUUGUUGUUGGCAAGCUUGUGGUCUUUAUGGAACCAGGUGCCACAGAUUUAUGCUAUGGAAGCUGAAAAUUCGAAAGCUAAGGUCCAAAGGUUCCCAUGUUGAGCAUGCUCACUUGACAAACACAUCUAACCAGAUUUUGCAAGUUAUGAAUGCUAGCCGAGAAUAUAUAUACAAUUGAGAAUUUGGGAACUGAUUUUAUUUUGAUAAUUUCUCUCUCCGGAAGAUGGAUAUCACUAUGACUUCUCAGAACUUAUGGUUGGAAUAAUUUUCUUUUAAAUUUUUUUGCUUUAACUUUGUUAGUGUGGUAGAAUAUUUUAUAAUUUU